rnacentral:ribozyme from 16 species
UAUGCAAUGAGUUUAAGCUCAAAACAUCCUGCAAAUAUACAUACACAAAAUGAAAGAAAGAAAUAAAAAAGAAAAAAGAAAAAAUGGAAAAAUAGGUCACAUAUUUGUAUGUUUCUUGUUUUUCCAUUUUUUUUUUUUUUUUUUUUUUUCCUUUUUCUUUCUCCUAAUUUGUGUAAUUUUUAUAAAAACAGGAAGGAAGGUCUGAGAUGCUGCAUUUAAAGAAUAGAAAAGAAAAGUCAAUGAAUUUUAAUUUUUUUUUUUAUAAUUCUUAUGAAUUAAAAAGAAAGAAAAAAAAAGUUAUAACAUUCGUUGUUACUUUUUAUUUCACAUAUAUAUAUAUAUAUAUUCUUUAAUAAAAUUUUUGAGAGAAAAAGUAUUGAACAAAUAUUAAUUAGUUACCAGAAAUAUCAAUCAUAUAUUUAAAAUUUCGUAAGAAGUUUUGUGUAUGGUUUUGAAAAAGCUAAUAAGCAAGUAUACAUUGGUGAGUUCGAUUUUUGAGGUUUUUCUUUAUUCCUACAUCUCAUAUAUCAAUAUUUUUUUUAUAAUUAUAUAUUAUACGAGGUGAUAAUAAGAAAAAUAACUUAAUUCAGACUACUCCUAACUUCAUUGCUGCAA